rnacentral:rRNA from 1 species
AUUGAACGCUGGCGGCAUGCUUUACACAUGCAAGUCGAACGGUAACAGGUUAAGCUGACGAGUGGCGAACGGGUGAGUAAUGCAUCGGAACGUGCCCGGUCGUGGGGGAUAACGCAGCGAAAGCUGCGCUAAUACCGCAUACGAUCUGAGGAUGAAAGCGGGGGGACCGUAAGGCCUCGCGCGAUCGGAGCGGCCGAUGUCAGAUUAGGUAGUUGGUGGGGUAAAGGCUCACCAAGCCGACGAUCUGUAGCGGGUCUGAGGGGAUGAUCCGCCACACUGGGACUGAGACACGGCCCAGACUCCUACGGGAGGCAGCAGUGGGGAAUUUUGGACAAUGGGCGCAAGCCUGAUCCAGCCAUGCCGCGUGCGGGACGAAGGCC